rnacentral:lncRNA from 1 species
UGCUGUGACCAAUCAGUGCCUCUACUACUCUUGCCGUGAUUUAGGGGUCAUCCAUGAAUAACACUUCACGCUGAUGAAUGGCUCUUGCAGGCUUUCGGCUCUGAUGAGGGGUCUGCCCGCCGCUGAUUGCAAACACUAAUGAACUCCCAGCGCCAUUUGAAAUUCACACGCACCUACAAAGUGCGGGGGUACGUGCGUGCGGGGGUGGGGGGCGGAGGGGUCUGUCCUUUUCUUCUCCCGGCCGCGCGCGCGCGCGCGCGCGCGGGGAGCGGGGUCGGGGAGGGGGGAAGGGGCGGGUAAUUGCUUUGGACCGAGGUGGAAACACUUCUGUGUGUAAUCAAACCUCUAACCUUCUUAGAAAACUACUUUUCUUGAUCUUUCAUAGGGUGGGCAUUUCAGGUCAGCUGAGUCACCCGAGGAGGUAGGAGUGCAAGACACUGCCGGGAAGAUGGAUUCCGAGGCAGAAGGGUGUAAUUAAGGAUUUCCACUCCCGGUAGGCGGCCCGUCCUUUACAUGAGGAUCUGAAAAUGACCUGCGCCUUCCCCUCCAGAGUGUCCUCUCGUCCCAGACUGAAAAGCGCAAAUGACCUUCGCACGCGGGAAGGGGUUAUACACGAGCCCCAACUCGGCACCGGCGGCGGCGAACAAGUGUCCGCCUUGUGGUUCAAGCACCAAGACCGCCCCAACAAGCGCGCGCUGGCCGGUGGGGACGGAUUCUGGAGUCCUCCCAAGGCUCCACGCCCC